rnacentral:rRNA from 1 species
GAUGAACGCUGGCGGCGUGCCUAAUACAUGCAAGCCGAGCGAAUGGAUUAAGAGCUUGCUCUUAUGAAGUUAGCGGCGGACGGGUGAGUAACACGUGGGUAACCUGCCCAUAAGACUGGGAUAACUCCGGGAAACCGGGGCUAAUACCGGAUAACAUUUUGAACCGCAUGGUUCGAAAUUGAAAGGCGGCUUCGGCUGUCACUUAUGGAUGGACCCGCGUCGCAUUAGCUAGUUGGUGAGGUAACGGCUCACCAAGGCAACGAUGCGUAGCCGACCUGAGAGGGUGAUCGGCCACACUGGGACUGAGGCACGGCCCAGACUCCUACGGGAGGCAGCAGUAGGGAAUCUUCCGCAAUGGACGAAAGUCUGACGGAGCAACGCCGCGUGAGUGAUGAAGGCUUUCGGGUCGUAAAACUCCGUUGUUAGGGAAGAACAAGUGCUAGUUGAAUAAGCUGGCACCUUGACGGUACCUAACCAGAAAGCCACGGCUAACUACGUGCCAGCCGCCGCGGUAA